AGCGAACGCUGGCGGCAGGCUUAACACAUGCAAGUCGAGCGGGCCCUUCGGGGUCAGCGGCAGACGGGUGAGUAACACGUGGGAACGUACCCUUUGGUUCGGAAUAACGCUGGGAAACUAGCGCUCAUACCGGAUACGCCCUUUUGGGGAAAGGCUUGAUGCCGAAGGAUCGGCCCGCGUGUGAUUAGCUUGUUGGUAGGGUAAUGGCCUACCAAGGCGACAAUCAGUAGCUGGUCAGAGAGGAUGAUCAGCCACACUGGGACUGAGACACGGCCCAGACUACUACGGGAGGGAGCAGUGGGGAAUAUAGGAAAAUGGGCGCAAGCAUGAUCGAGCCAGGGCGCGUGAGUGAUGAAGGCGUUAGGGUAGUAAAGCACUUUUGUACGGGACGAUAAUGACGGUACCGGAAGAAUAAGCCCCGGCUAACUUCGUG
rnacentral:rRNA from 1 species